rnacentral:rRNA from 1 species
UACGUAGGGGGGCGAGCGUUGUCCGGAUUUAUUGGGCGUAAAGAGCGUGUAGGCGGCUUGGCAAGUCCGCUGUGAAAACUCGAGGCUCAACCUCGAGACGUCGGUGGAAACUGCCUGGCUAGAGUCCGGAAGAGGAGAGUGGAAUUCCUGGUGUAGCGGUGAAAUGCGCAGAUAUCAGGAAGAACACCCGUGGCUAAGGCGGCUCUCUAGUACGGUACUGACGCUGAGACGCGAAAGCGUGGGGAGCGAACAGG